GCAGCUCCCUAUAAUAAUGAGUAGGAACAAAUCUCCUCCUCAUGAUGGCCUUCAUCUCCUCCCAAGUGUUUAUAGGCCUUUCACGAUUUCGUCUCCUACUCAAAACAAGUUGAUCCCACCAAAUAAUAGCAUAAUCAGUAAAUUCAACAGCAGCUAGUUUUACCUUUUUCUCCUCAGAGUAGUUGUGGCAAUCAAAUACUAGCUCCACCUUUUUUUCCCACUCCAAAUAAGCUUCCGGAUCAUUUUUACCUUGAAAAGAAAGAAUUUUCAGUUUGAU
rnacentral:lncRNA from 1 species